rnacentral:rRNA from 1 species
UCCGGUUGAUCCUGCCGGACCCGACUGCUAUCGGGGUGGCGCUAAGCCAUGGGAGUCGCACAUCCCACCGCCGUGGGGUGUGGCGAACGGCCGAGUAACACGUGGCUAACCUACCCUCGGGACGGGGACAACUCCGGGAAACUGGAGCUUAUCCCCGAUAGGCGGGGAGUCCUGGAACGGUUCUCCGCCCAAAGGGAUGGGAGGGGGUUAUCGCCUUCUAUCCGCCCGAGGAUGGGGCUGCGUCCCAUCAGGUUGUUGGCGGGGUAACGGCCCGCCAAGCCUAUAACGGGUAGGGGCCGUGAGAGCGGGAGCCCCCAGAUGGGCACUGAGACAAGGGCCCAGGCCCUACGGGGCGCACCAGGCGGGAAACCUCCGCAAUGCGGUAACCCGUGACGGGGUCACCCCGAGUGCUCCCCUUAUGGGGAGCUUUUCCCCGCUGCAGGAAGGCGGGGGUAAUAAGUGGGGGGCAAGACUGGUGUCAGCCGCCGCGGUAAUACCAGCCCCACGAGUGGUCGGGACGGUUAUUGGGCCUAAAGCGCCCGUAGCCGGCCCAGCAAGUUCCUGCCUAAAUCACCGGGCUCAACCCGGUGACUGGUGGGAAUACUGCUGGGCUAGGAGGCGGGAGAGGCCGGGGGUACUCCUAGGGUAGGGGCGAAAUCCUAUAAUCCUAGGAGGACCACCAGUGGCGAAGGCGCCCGGCUGGAACGCGCUCGACGGUGAGGGGCGAAAGCUGGGGGAGCAAACCGGAUUAGAUACCCGGGUAGUCCCAGCUGUAAACGAUGCGGACUAGGUGUUGGACGGACCUAGGGUCCGUCCAGUGCCGCAGGGAAGCCGUUAAGUCCGCCGCCUGGGGAGUACGGCCGCAAGGCUGAAACUUAAAGGAAUUGGCGGGGGAGCACCACAAGGGGUGGAGCCUGCGGCUUAAUUGGAGUCAACGCCGGG